rnacentral:rRNA from 1 species
GUAGUCUCGCACAGAUGCAUAUCAAUAAGCGGAGGAAAAGAAACUAACAAGGAUUCCCUCAGUAACGGCGAGUGAAGCGGGAAGAGCUCAAAUUUGAAAUCUUGAAAGGUCACCUUUCACGAAUUGUAGUUUAAAGAAGUGUUUUCUGUUACGAUCGUAAUAUAAGUUCUUUGGAAUAGGACAUCACAGAGGGUGAGAAUCCCGUCUAUGAUUGCGAUUUGUAGCUUUGUGAUACACUUUCAAAGAGUCGGGUUGUUUGGGAAUGCAGCCCAAAACGGGAGGUAAAUUUCUUCUAAGGCUAAAUAUUGGCGAGAGACCGAUAGCGAACAAGUACCGUGAGGGAAAGAUGAAAAGAACUUUGAAAAGAGAGUUAAAUAGUACGUGAAAUUGUCAAAAGGGAAGCGUUUAACACCAGUGUUGUUUUCUGAAAAUCAACCUCUGUUAGCUUUAUGCAUGUUUGUUUAGACCUAAUCAGCUAUCUUGCAUGUUCUAUUGUUUGCAGUGGUGCACUUUUCAGUUUACAGGUCAACAUCAGUUUUUUUUACCGUAAAAAAGUUAAAGAAAGGUAGCUCAUGGCUCCGGUCGUGAGUGUUAUAGUCUUUUUCCUAUGCGGUAGGAGAGACUGAGGUCUGCAGUGUAGGCUAUUUGGCUAGAUACUCAGGUGCUAUGUGAUACCAUUUCAUAAACAACUUGUUGAUUAUGUUUUGUCUAUUGCAUACUCGCUUGUACUAUCAUACCUACGCUUAGGAUGUUGAGUCGUAGAGCACGCAG